AUGUUCACUGUUAUAUUCAUGUGUCUGUGGCUUUCACUAGGUGACUCCAUGGCAGAUUCAAUAAAGCCACUUUCCACUCAGAAUGUUGUAGAUGAAGGUGAUGAUGUUACUCUGUCCUGUGAAUAUGUAACAAGUGCUACAGACUUCUCCCUGCAGUGGUACAGGCAAUAUCCAAAAUCUAAACCUGAGUUCCUUCUUUAUAUUUACAAAACUGGAGAUCUAAGUGAAAACCGUCCCCCAAGAAUGAAUGCUACACUUAAAGAUAAGAAAGUGGAUCUGAUCAUCUCCUCUGCUGCUGUAUCAGACUCUGCACUAUAUUACUGUGCUCUGGUGCCCACAGUGACAGGAAAUCCAGCUGCACUGUACAAAAACCUUCACACUGUUUUGUUAUACUCAAGGCAGUUCUGCUGGUGA